UGGCUCACUAAUUUUCUGGCAUAUUUUAGUCUUGAAGACCGCUCAUGUGUUGGUGUUCUUAUUAAGUAGCUUUGUUUUAAGUAGACUGGUUUUAGCAUCCAAAAUAGGUAGAAGGCGGCAGCUUUGAAGGAAACAUCCUUAGUCUCCAUGCUUCUCCUGUACGGCACUGCAAUAGACAGCAGCGCUUACUGCUUAUUCAUCUCAUCUUAGCCGUUUAUGCAAUGCAUGUGCAUGUCCACUGCAUGAACGGCUGG
rnacentral:misc_RNA from 1 species